rnacentral:snRNA from 1 species
AUACCUUUCUCGGCCUUUUGGCUAAGAUCAAGUGUAGUAUCUGUUCUUAUCAGUUUAAUAUCUGAUAUGUGGCUCAAUGGGUCACAUGAUAUUAAAUUACUUUUUUGAGGGGGAGAAGUCAUCACAAUAGCUUGCUAUUGAACUUCUUGAGUGUCGCUUAUGCGUUGCACUAUUGCAUAGGCUGGCGCACCCCACCAAUCUUAGUUCAAUUAUUAAUUAAUUGCAUGCAUUGGUGUACUUUACCAAUCUUAGUUCAUUUUUGUUUUAGCUGCUAAAAAGCUUCUUAUUGGCGCUCCCGUAUUUUGUAGUUCUUA